UAGGGAAUCUUCGGCAAUGGACGAAAGUCUGUCCGAGCAACGCCGCGUGAGUGAAGAAGGUUUUCGGAUCGUAAAACUCUGUUGUUAGAGAAGAACAAGGACGUUAGUAACUGAACGUCCCCUGACGGUAUCUAACCAGAAAGCCACGGCUAACUACGUGCCAGCAGCCGCGGUACUACGUAGGUGGCCAGCGUUGUCCGGAUUUAUUGUGCGUAAAGCGAGCGCAGGCGGUUUCUUAAGUCUGAUGUGAAAGCCCCCGGCUCAACCGGGGAGGGUCAUGGGAAACUGGGAGAGUUGAGUGCAGAAGAGGAGAGUGGAAUUCCAUGUGUAGCGGUGAAAUGCGUAGAUAUAUGGAGGAACAACAGUGGCGAAGGAGGCUCUCUGGUCUGUAACUGACGCUGAGGCUCGAAAGCGUGGGGAGCAAACAGG
rnacentral:rRNA from 1 species